UCCGAGUUGACCCCGGCAGUCUCCCAUGAGUCCCCGCCAUUACGCGCUGGCAACAUGGAACGAGGGUUGCGCUCGUUGCGGGACUUAACCCAACAUCUCACGACACGAGCUGACGGCAGCCAUGCACCACCUGCACACCAACCACAAGGGAAGCCCUAUCUCUACGGGUACACCAUGUAUGUCAAACCCAGGUAAGGUUCUUCGCGUUGCAUCGAAUUAAUCCGCAUGCUCCGCUGCUUGUGCGGGCCCCCGUCAAUUCCUUUGAGUUUUAGCCUUGCGGCCGUACUCCCCAGGCGGGGCACUUAAUGCGUUAGCUUCGGCACGGAGGGAGUCGACACCCCCCACACCUAGUGCCCAUCGUUUACAGCGUGGACUA
rnacentral:misc_RNA from 1 species